rnacentral:rRNA from 1 species
GACGAACGCUGGCGGCGUGCCUAAUACAUGCAAGUUGAGCGCUGAAGGUUGGUACUUGUACCAACUGGAUGAGCAGCGAACGGGUGAGUAACGCGUGGGGAAUCUGCCUUUGAGCGGGGGACAACAUUUGGAAACGAAUGCUAAUACCGCAUAAAAACUUUAAACACAAGUUUUAAGUUUGAAAGAUGCAAUUGCAUCACUCAAAGAUGAUCCCGCGUUGUAUUAGCUAGUUGGUGAGGUAAAGGCUCACCAAGGCGAUGAUACAUAGCCGACCUGAGAGGGUGAGAGGCAACAUUGGGACGGAGACACGGCCAAAACUCCUACGGGAGGCAGCAGGAGGGAAUCUUCGGCAAUGGACGAAAGUCUGACCGAGCAACGCCGCGUGAGUGAAGAAGGUUGUCGGAUCGUAAAACUCUGUUGGUAGAGAAGAACGUUGGUGAGAGUGGAAAGCUCAUCAAGUGACGGUAACUACCCAGAAAGGGACGGCUAACUACGUG